GUGGGUAACAUGCGCCGCACGUUGCUCGGAGCCACAAGCCCCCACAAUCUGCCGGCCCCACCUGAACAGAAUAUAGGCCCUGCCACUGUCAAUCUACUUGUGCUGCAUGUGGAGCCCUUGUAGAUUCGCAGAAAUUUUUAGCAGUUACUGUGGCUACUCCUAAUCUCUGGAGGCCUGAUGACAAGACUGAUGGAAACAUGUCACAUGCAGGGUGCCCUGCAACUACCCCGGGCAGAAGGUGACCUUCCACGUCGAGGAGGGCUCGAACCCCAUGUACCUGGCGGUGCUCGUCGAGUUCGAGGACGGCGACGGCGACGUGGUGCAGGUGGACCUGAUGGAGGCCAACUCCGGGUCGUGGGCGCCGAUGCGCGAGUCCUGGGGAUCCAUCUGGAGGAUGGACUCCAACCACCGGCUGCAGGCGCCCUUCUCGCUGCGCAUCACCAACGAGUCCGGCAGGAAGCUGGUGGCCAACCGGGUCAUCCCGGCCAACUGGGCGCCCAACACCUACUACCGCUCCAUCAUCCAGUACUAGCCCUGCUACUGCGUGCAUGCGCUCUGUAAUUUUCCGGUGUCAUUGGCCGGCUUAAUUGUAUGUAUAUCGUCGCUGCGUUUAUUACUAGGUAGUGCCAGUAAUUAAGUGAGGCACCGGAAGCCCGGCAAUGCCCUAGGUGUUGUGUUUCAGCAAGUGUUGGCAGAGUAGGAGAUGAGGAGGCCGGUUUGGAUGUGCUUUCUCGCCCGGUGCCAAUGUAUUUUUCAGUGUGAUCAUCAAGACUAUAAUUGGAAAACUGGUUCUGUGUGGCAUUCAGAACGGACAUGCUUCUCCAUACCCUUUUUGUUUGCGGCUCUUGAUUGUUCGGCACAAGUUGGCUAUAAAAAAACCUUUAUUCAGCACAAAUUAGAGCCCCUUUGGCACAGCUUCCUGAAGAGCUUCAAACACAUGAAGCUAUGCUAAAAGGGUAUUUUCCUAGUAGAUUCAUCCAUGAAGCAUGUGGUGAAGCUGUUUCCGGCUUACACGAGAAGCUGAAAAUCGUAGCUUCACCCAGUUUCUCCCACAGGCCCACGUUUCGCCAAAUAAUUUUGAAAACAGAUUCAGCUUCACCAGAUUCUGUGCUUCGGGAGCUGUUUUAGGAGAAACUGAAGCUAUGUUAAACGGAGUCCCUCCACUCAUAACUAUUACUUUAUUCUGCAUCAAAUCUGGAUCUUUGAAAAAGUACAUAAGUAGAUUUGUCUCGAAGCUAGUUUAAUUUCAUAAUAAUCAGUACGAGUCAAUACCAUAUAUGGCCUCUUGUCCAAAACGUAACUUAUUACUUAUCUUUGAAGACCUUUUUUUUUGUAUUUAAGGCCUUGUUCAGUAUGUGAGGAACUGGGAGUUACUAGUUUUCUAAUACACUCUCUAUUUCUUGUGAAAUUUCUGUGUUUAGGCCGGCUUCAUGCAUGCCUAUAAUUGUUGAUUACUUGCCGUUUAUCUUUAACUGCCCCCCCCCCCCCCCCCCCCCUUGAUCUGCCCCCUAGCUCCGCCACUGCCCUAUAGGCUCUAAACUAUCGAGUCUAAAGUAUCUGUGCAUGUGGAGGUUCAACUAGACCUUACAGAUUAUGAGAUUAAAACGAAGCCAUCAUCAUCAAGAUGGUCCAUGACGCUAAAUGCUCCUUAAACGCAGUCGCGCUCGCUGUGCAGCAAAAACAUCUGUGCUUGGCCUCGUAGAUCGAGUUAGAGCAGUAGUUCAGGUGUCGACGAGUUUUCUUUUCCGGACACGGAGAAGAUAAGGACGCAAGAGGAAAGGGGGGCCCUGAAUUUCCCCAUUCCUGUUCUGCUCGACCCAAACAAACAGUUAUUAGCCCCGGAAAGAUACAGAGGCAACUGACGCGUGAUGUGUCCACGCGCAUGUGCGAGGGCGGGGCCGGACGCCGACGGCCGCGCAGCGCUGCGCUGCACAUUUGCAUGUGAGGUGCGGGCCACCGCCGCGAAGGCAACGGCCGCCGGGCCCGGGCUGUCGAGCGAACCAGUGGCCGGCGGCAUGCAGAGUCGCAGAGCUCUCGCCAUCCAUCAAAGGAGGCGCCGAGCGAGCGAGCGACCACCGCUCAGAUUUCCAGGGCCCGCGUCGUCGCACUCGCAUCCGCCGUUACCGGCUGGCCGGCCCCGUCGUCCAUGGGUCUCGACUGCCCCAUCGUCCGCGGUGUCUCCGGAGGCCAGGCGACCGGUGGAGCCGUGGCAUUGUGGGCAUGUUUUCGGUUGUGCGCGCACGGCGGUAUGGGCUACUUGCGCAGCGGGCGGCAUAUGUUUCACGAAGAUUACAGAUACAGGCAUGCCAUACCGCCCGUUUGCUUCGGGGGUAGUGGGCUACUGCAUUGCACGUACCAUCAGCAGGUCGAGCAGCACCUCAUGCCAUGCGUGAAACUGUGUGAUGAUUGGCCCUGGUGAAGUUUAGAAAUGUCUAGACAAAAUGUACGUAUGUACGUGCUUGGCUUGUUGAAAUUCUUAGUCUUCAGGUGCGAUAAGAAAAAGGAUAGAAUCUAGAAAUUCUCACAAUAAUAAAAAAUAUCCGACCAUCAAUUCGGCAUACUCUGAUCAUAAUAUCUAUUGGUACUAUAAAAUUUUUAUGAUAUAAUCAUGUGUUGUACGUGCUAAUUUCUCUUCUCUGCAUCUUCAUGGUAGCACAAAAUCAAGUGAUCCGCUUAGCUGGUUCCGGUGAAAAAACAAACCUGAAUGGCUAUGGUUGAUAUUUCACUAGCUGGAAAACGAUGUGUCAACUGAAUUUAGGCUUUAUUGCAACAACUUAACUAACAUCCUCUUACAAUUAGAAAAAGCAUGCCUAGAAAAUCAUGUAUGUUAAGCUUUAAUUUGUGGCCUUAUCAUUAAAAUCAACUAUACUAGCAAGAUGUCCCGUGCAAAUAACGUGGGUAGCUAGUAUUUUCAUUUUUCAUUCCAUAUGUUAUUUUAUUUUUACCUAAAAGUAUAUGCAGAUGAUUUUUCCGAAUGAUGUCAUUAUAAUUAUUUUUCCAGAUGACCUAAACUGAGAUAUCAAUCUAUUCCUUUUCUUAUAUGGCAUAUUAUGUUGAGUAUUUUUUCCGAACACUAUGCGGUAUUUUUGGAACAUGAAUUUAGGAGAAAAGGUAAUAAAUUAUAUACACACAUGUUUUUAUAUUUUCUAGCAUCUCAUGAUUAUUUUACAUAGAAUAUUUUUAGGAAGAAUAUAAUUUUUAAUUUUUUGACUAAUGAUACACUUUUUUCCUUGAGAGUUUUCAUCACCGUGCAUGUAAAAUUAUCCUCACGUUAUUAGAAAAAUCUAGAUGAGUGGUUUAAUGCAUGCUCCAAUAAAUAUAUUAUGAUUGACAUAACAUUUUUCCAACACGUGUCAUUACCAUGUAUUGGGUCUACAUAUUCACGGAUGCACCUAGUAAGAUAUAGCCAUCUUCUUUAUGCUUAUCCGCUCUCUCCCGCUUCUGUUUCUGUCGGUGUUUUACCGCCACGUCUAUUAAGAGAUAUCUCCGAGGUGGUAAGUUUGUAGAUAGGGUGUCGCCGAGAUCAGAAACUCGAAGGUGCAAAGGAACAUAAGAUUUAGAUAGGUUCGGACCGCCGAAAGCGUAAUAUCCUAUGUCCUAUGUGUUUUGUAUUGCCUUUGAUGAUGAUUCACCCUGAUGGGGUCCCUAUCCGCCCUUAUAUAGUCUGGGCGACGGUGUCAGGGAUAAAUGCCCUAGGUACUGCAAGGAAACUACCCGUGAGGAAAAAGAAGUCUGACUCCUACUAGAAUUCCACUGUAAUCCUAUUAGAACUCCCACCUUGUAAUCCUACUAGAACUCCUACCUUGUAAUCCUACUAGGAACCCCAUCCCUUAGGAUAUAUAAAGGAGGGCAGGGAUAUCUAGAUAGAGAGAGAACCAACAGAGAGCAGCCAACAGGCUACUCAACACCCAAGCGCAGGGCGCAAUAUACAACACCCCAAAACAGGAUAUAGGAUAUUACGCUACUCUAGUGGCCCGAACCUGUCUAAAUUUGUGUCUUGUGUCCUGGUGUUCACCUUCAAGUUCCAGAUCCGGCGAUCCCUCAUCAAAUAAUCUCCUAUCUUAGGGUAUCCCUAGGUAGGCCGACGGUAAAAACACCGACAGCUGGCGCCCACCGUGGGGCCGAUCGUCGCCAUCAUUGGGCGAAUUUGAAGGACCUCUUCAUCAACAUCAAUCCACUCAAGGUGGCGGAUUGCUACUUCAUACAUAUGCAUCGGCGGAUCGAUUCAUCGAGUUCGAGAUCGGAUCCUUUAGCGAACGGCUACAUAGACCUCGACUACUCGGCUCGCCUUCACCUCGCGCUGCAACGUCGAUGCACCGCGGCGGCCGACCUCGACGACUCGGUUCAACUUCGGCUUGUGCCGCAUUGUCCACGCGCAGUAGCGACGAGUUCGACUACUUCGACUUCGCGAGGACGAUCGGCGGCCCGCCAACGACUACAUCAACUACUCGUCUCGACUUGAAAACUAGUCGGAAUCGACUCUGACUAGUCGAGAUUCAUCAACAAACCGCCGCAGCUCCAUCAACGAGCUCUACAGCUUCGUCGACAUUCGUCCAAGAAUCAAGCUAAGUGACUUAUACCUUUUAUACCUUUUCCGACUUGUUCUUCACAAGAUUGGCUACCUUUUUGGGUAUGCCUCUCGACGGGCGUGAAACCCUCGGGACUACUCCAUGAUCGACUACCUAUCUGUGUACGUCUCUCGACGGGCAUUGAAACCCUCCAGAGUUACACUUCGCCAACUACUUAUCCGUGUACGUCUCUCGACGGGCAUUGAAACCCUCCAAAGCUACACUUCGCCGACUACUUAUCCGUGUACGACUCUCGAUGGGCAUUGAAACCCUCCAGAGCUACACUUCGUCGACUACUUUUUGUGCAACGCGCAUUCAUUCUGUCGCAAUGUCGACUACUUUUGCGCACUGCGCAACCUCUUUGUCGCAUGAUGACUACUUUCUGCUCGUUGUUUCCUCUUAACGGUCGCUAAUCCACUAGAGUAGCAAAUAUCUUAAUCCAUGAAACUUCGAGUCUCCAGUCAUGACCUAAGCGACCCGUCCUGUAUGAGCGAAGGGAAGAGAUCUAAGCGACUCGUACAUGCUAUGGGCGAAGGCUAAACUGGGACCGGGUGAACGUAAAGGGUGGACUACUCGGGAGAUUUAAAUGGCCUAAAAAAGAGCUCGACACAGCAAUUUUUACACCGAAUAAAUUUUGGUGUCUUCACAUUAUUACUGAGUACUACUCGGUAUCUUCAUAUUAUGCUACAUAAUGUAUGCAUUAUCUUUUUCAGAUCAAGAUUCGGCAACAACCCUUCAGGCAGCACGGCGUGCCAUCACAGUUCCGCUAGUUCCCAGGCUCGAGGGCUGGGCGAUGCGCACUACUCGACAUGGCUCCUUCGGUUCUCCUACGCCGUAAAACUACUCGAAGAUGACUCAUAUGAAAGUUGAGAGUGCAGAAGAAAUCCUAAGUCACCGCACGGUUAAAUAAACCAGAGGGAGGCUCAAUUUCACUGUGCAGAAGGUGAAGAAUUUUUCUCAGGAUUUUAGAGUAACACCAAUACCACGAUUCUUGGAUCCUUUUUCCGAACCUAAGGCUUUUGGAUUUAAGGCUCGGGGGCUGCAGGAUACGUAUCAUUGACUAUUUAUUUUUCGAAUGUACUCGAAGGAUAAGAAAUGGAGAUUCAAGACUAAUGUGACCCUCAGCCUGAUUCUUCGAUUCAACCUAAGGCUCGGGUGCUACUCUAUAUGGAGUGCGAUUUUCCAUCGCACCCCAUACAAAAGAAGACUUAAAACUAUUCGGGGCAUGAGUAUCUCAUAGCCUCGAUGCAACCAAGGAAGUACUCGAUGAAGAUCUUUAAGAUGGAGUUUCAGAAGAAGCCGAAGACUACUUCAGAAGUACUCGAAAUGCCUGCAGUACUCAGCUAUGAAGAGCUCGGGGGCUUGUCAGGGAUAGAUCCCUUAGGUACCGCAAGGAAGCUACCCGUGAGGAAAAGGAAGUCUGAUUCCUACUAGGAUUCCACUGUAAUCCUAUUAGGACUUAUACCUUGUAAUCCUACUAGAACUCCUACCUUGUAAUCCUACUAGGAACCCCGUCCCCUGGGAUAUACAAAGGAGGGCAGCGAUACCUAGAUAGAGAGAGAGAACCAACAGAGAGCAGCCAACAGGCUACUCAAUACCCAAGCGCAGGGCACAAUAUACAACACCCCAAAACAGAACGUAGGGUAUUACGCUACUUUAGCGGCCCGAACCUGUCUAAAUUUGUGUCUUGUGUCCUCGCGUUCACCUUCAAGUUCUAGAUCCGGCGAUCCCUCACUAAAUAAUCACCUACCUUAGGGUAUCCCUAGGUAGGCCGACGGUAAAAACACCGACAGACAGGUUUACAUGGAAGUCCUAGUCGGAUACAAGCCCACGAGUACUACCCGAGUACUUCUCGGGUUUUUUCCUACCGUGUCCGACUAGUUUCACUACUAUAUGAGCAAUCCUACUGCAUUACGAGUAGUUACACUGCAUUACAAGUAGUUACAACAGAUGUAGGGCGUGAGCCAUUUCCAUCCCAUAUCCUAGGAGAAGUGUGGCACGUGGGCAGUUCCAUAUACCGGGUCUGACAGUUUCCUGACAUCAGAUACAUUUUCUCUUUUAAAACACUUCCUGCAACUUUCUAUGGAUGGGUAUAGAUGUGAAACAUCAACUUCCAUGUUUUUUUGUUCUAGAUCACAUUAGCGUUACACUUGACUACAUCAUUUAUCGUUCCUUCUCUCCUAAAAUAUUUAGACCUUAAUCAUCCACCAAUCACAAUACUGCACACUAAGAAAUCACCAUCUUGCUAGUUUCUGGUUGUCGCUGAAGGUGAUCACCAUACCUCUGUGACCAUGUUAGCGUGGUACUUAGGCUUGGGGUCAGGCUUGUAUCAUGUCACGGCUAUGACAUGAUUAUACUAUCAUGCAAUCAUUAUUGUGCUUGUAAUCUUUAUAUCCUAGUUCUUGUUGCCCUUUCAACGAUCUAGCAACUCUCAUCGCUUUCAAGUCCAAAUUUACUGAUUAUAUUUUUAAUUGUUUAUAAAAGCAUGUACCAGUAGUAGUAAUAUGAAAAUAAAUGUCUAGCAUGAAAAAUUUAGAGACCUAGACCCUUUAUUUAAGUAAUUUGCUUCAAAAUUUAGUACCAUUUUUCAUCAGUUUUUUCUUGUAAUUUAGUUAUUUGUUAUCUACAUGCUCUAUUUUUCUAUUUCCCUCUAAAUUCAUAUAUAAUACUACAGAUUUUAUAUUAUUUUAAUUUUAAGUUAAACACAUAUUAAUUGUAUUAAAAGUCAAUGUUAUUUUAUUAGUUUACAUUAAAAUCAAUGUUGUCUAUCCCUUCUUACUUCUUAUUAUUAGUGUAGCAAUUUCAAGCAAUAUUCUAAACAUAGCUUAAAUAAUUUUAUUCUAUAUGGUCUAUUUACAUACAUAAUAUACUUCUCAAACUCAAUAGAAAUCAAAAUAUCAGUUUUUAUAUUUGAUCAAGUAUUAAUUUCGUUAUAUUUUUAAUUCUGAAUUUAGCUUUUUACUAAUAGCAUUCAACAUGCACUCUUUUGUCAACCGUUACUUGUCUUAUUUAAUUAGCUAUUUACUAAUUAUAUUCAAUUUGAUUCUUCGGUCAAGUUCUAAUUUUCUUUUUUAAUUCUAAAUUUAGCUAUUUUCUGAUCUUAUUCGGCAAGGACUUUUGAUCGAGUCAUAAUUCUCUUUUUUUAUUUUAGGAUUAUAUAUUUAUUAAACAAAUUUGAUAUGGACUCUUUAAGUUAGAUCUUCAUAAAGUUUCAUGAUACAUUAGCCAAAGGAAACAUGCAUUCAACGGUAUGGUUGGAUCAGAUGCUUGUGUGCAUUCUUGACCUGAUUAAACAUGAUGUAACCUCUGUAUUGUCUAGCUAAUAAAAUUCUCUCUUGCUUGGUAAGAUUACUUGUGGUGGAAUUUGCCCACCCGAGUUCGAGUCCUGGACUCGGUAUGGAUGCUCGCAUUUUUCUGGAUUUAUCUCAGGAUAACCGGCACUAUUUUUUAAGUGGCAGGCUUUUUGCCAUCGAUCGCGAGAUGCCAUUGUGACUUCAUCAAUCUCGAGAAUCUGCCAGCUCAGUCUCUCAAAAGUGCUUAUAGAGGUAGGGUCGCGUACGUGUAUUUAUAGGGGUGAAUGUGCGUGCGUGUACGUGAGCGUCUACGUUUAUACUGUGUUUCGAAAAAAAUAAAACUCCCUCUUUAUCGUUAAAAAAAGGCUUAUGAUGCCUCUCAUUCUGAAUACAUGUGUUGUGAAUCUCGAAGGUGUCAACUGAAUGUUUAUCUCUACCCAUUCCCAAUCUGAUAUUUUAGAGUUCAUAUUCGCUAUGUGUAUGUCUUAUCUUUUUCUGGAUUUAGUGUCUUGGCGAAAUCCAAAGCCUUACGCUUCCGUUGAACUAUGUGGAGAUUCCUAUCUAGUACAACCAAAGUAAGAUAGCUCCAGAUCUUGAUUUGUUCUAUGGCCAGAAUGCUUGCCAAUGCUUUGCUUCAGAGUGCAGGGUCGCACUGAUUGCGACCUGCACGCUUCGGUGUUUACAUAUUUUCGAUCUGCAAUGCACUGUAAUCUUGCCUGUAGAGUGCACGAUCAUUCGUAGCAUUGCAUUUCCAGAAAACUGGCAUAUGCAAACGCAAGUCUUGCAAGUUUAUGCAGUAUAAAUCAAGUCCUAUUUUUCUUAUUUUUUAAUUUUAAAUUUAACUAUUUACUAAUCGUAUUCGGCAAGAACGCUUUGAUCCAAUCCUAAUUCUCUUAUUAUUUUAGUUCUGAAAUUAUAUAUUUAUUAGUCAUAUUUGAUAUGUACUAUUUGAGUUAGGCCGUGAGAUCUUCACAAAAUCCAACGGUGUAAAUCCUUCUCCUUUUUAGAUUAAUGUGGGAAUUUCUAGCUUCUCUCGGCUAACGUGGUUGCUUCUUUUAACACUCUUUUAUUAAUAUAAUUGAUAUAAUUUUUGUUAUGUACCUGGAUAUACUUUAUGACUAGAUAUGCAGCAAAAAUUAUAUAUCUAUAUUUGUCAAAGUGAUCUACAAUUUAGAAUAGAGGAAGCAGAUGGUAUCGGUUUGUCACCCGUAACUUCUUACUCAGAUGUCUAUGAUUUAAUUUUUGGAGAUUCAGGAAGGGUAUGGUUUUAGUACAGACGGUUCUGUGGCUGACCUAUUAGCAUAUACCGUUUUCUGAAUUUUAAGCGGAAAAGAACACUGGCAGCGGAAAACAGAUUCCUUUUACAUGUCAAAUUCAUCGCUUUGGAAAGUGCUGUCCCUCGAAGUGAUCUAAGCAGCUGAAUUCUCGCCGCGAUCAGCGACUCGCGUAAAAAUUUCAUUCAGUCUCACUGCAGUCACGUGAUCAAGCGAUGAGACUGCACGUAGGGUCUGUUUGUAUAGGCUAAAACUAAAGUUUAGCAAUAGCUAAAGUUUAAACGUCUAAACUUUAGUUGGAUAAAAUUAGUAUUGUUUUGUUUGGAUGCAUAGAUUAAACUUUAGCUGUUGUACUACGAAAAUUAUUUAUACUCCCGUACUAAGCACGCGCUGUGAGAGGAUAGGAUUCGGCGAGGGUUUUGGAAUUUUUCUAUCCGUUACUUAAAAUUAUCCCUUCUUAGCUGGGUUUAGAGGGAUAAUAAACUAAAUUUUAGUUGGGAACUUGGCUAAUUUUUAGUCCAUAUUUAGCCCCACUGUUUGAAUUACCUAGAGUUGCUGACUAAAAAUUAGCCUCUGGAUCCAAACAUAUCCCAAAUUUAAAAAAGCUAGAACGACUCUAGAGUACCAUAUAAAGCAUUAAUGUUUACAAUUUGGAGAGCAUUUAAUUCAAUUUUCUUAGGAGUAUUUUAUGAUAAGGAUAUCACCUGAUUGUAUGCAACCCUAUUAGAAACUUUUGAUUCAAAGAUGAAACCAUUCUUUAUCAUGAUUGUAUUUGAUACAUUUGAUGAUUUGAUGUUGCGCCAUGAUGUGUGUUUAUUAUCAUUUUCAGAAAUACACACAUGGAUCAAAAAAAAGUAUCAAACACACAUGGAAGGCAUGGAGGAUCAAAGAAAUUGAUUGGGAAUAAUUCUAUGUAUUCCCCACGUCCUCCACCAGGCCACCAUGAAACUUUUGCCCAAAGAAAGAGAGAUUGAAUCUAACACGUUUUGGCAGGGCUGGAUUCAGACUGCAGUACAGCGGUAACUUCUGAUGGCAGCCACGACUUUAUCCGGACUCCGUAUUGGGCGUUCAAGUACUUGAUGGAAUCUUUAUCAAGUCUACUUUCAUAUCCAUAUUUGCUCCGAGCCGACCGCAAUCACCGAUUUACUAUAGAGACCUUUUUCUAACGGUACUGCAUCACCUGAUUUUGGCCCGAUGGGCCGUGUAUCAAGUAGGACCUAAUAGGGGCGUGCCCUAAGGUUGUGGGAUGACCCCACCACAUCCUGGUCGUUCUUUACCCUCUUAUAUACUUCCAUAGCUGUCACAAACAGAUCGGAUUUUGUUUUGUUGAAAGUAUUAGCCAUUGCUACUUGCUUGUAGACGCGUGUGUCGGCUAAAGCAUCCGUUCUACUCAAUUCAGAAUUCCACCUUUGUGUUUUCGGAUUGGUUAUUAACACCAUAUUUGCAAUUGAGUUGCUUGUUCUACUUAUUUUUGCUUAUUCUUCGAUUCCUUGCAGGAACUACCCUAGUGGUUUGGUUGAUCCUGCUCCACAAGAUUGUGGCGACCAUUGGUGGUGGUGUACCGGUUGCUAAACCGCAGCAUCCAUGGAUGAUUGUAGUCGGGCCGUGAACAUCAUCUUCAUCCCAAAUCGAGUUAUCCAUCCUCUCUCACCAAAAGAUCGGGGUUCAUGAAAGAUAUCUAGACCCUUAGUGGGUUUUGAUGGUAGAUGACAAAGCACAUGUAUAUUUAAUCGUGUUAUCAAGCAUGUGUGCAGGUGCUAAGGGUGAUUAAGCAAAACGUAUUAUGAAGCAUGACCCCUCAAAAAGGAAAUGAAAAAUAGUGUUUCAAAUUUACUUGAAGAUUAGAUUUUAUAUUGAAAUUGAGUAUAUAAACACCGUACUAUCAAGAGCGACUUUGAUCUAUAGGGUGUUGACGUGGCAGUUGUGCUCAAGAGAACCUAUAAAAACCAUGAGAAUCAAACGUACCACUAUAAACAGUCUCCUUGUGAAAUUCCCUGCAAAAUCCGGAGUGUCCAGAUCUUGGUCCGGAAUAUCCGGACAUAUACCUGGAGACUCCGGGUAACUGUUCCCCUUCCAUAAAUUGCUCUGAGUCCAGAGUCUCCGGACCCCUGUAUCCGGAGUAUUCGGAUAUAUACCCGGAGUAUCCGGGUACUCUUUAGCCAACGGCUAGUUUUCUAUGAGAGGGGGUAAUAUACCCCCCACAUACCCUUCACUCACGGCUCUUUAGCUCACUUCGACCAGAAACUCCUACAUGCAAAAGAAGAGCUCUCUUGCUCCCCCUUUCUUCAUUCUUGAGUGAUUUUUUUUGGGGAUUCAAGUGAGAUUGUUGCAAGAGUAAAGAUUUGUGCUAGUAAGUUUCCAUUCUAUCUCUUGAGCACAUCAUGCUCGUCUAGCCGGUAGAUUCAAGUUUGUUACUUUUGGAGCUUCAAGUUUCUAGACGGCUAGGCAUCGCUCGUGAGUGCUCAAGCAAGUUGUGAGCACCACAGGAAGUUUGUAAUCAACAUUCCUCUCCUCUCGGAGGAACAUACAGUAAGUGACUUUGGGUUUGAGCGUUGGUCUCACCCUUGGUAGAGGAGCAUAGAGGUUCUUAAGCACGAAUCCUUUCUCAAUGGAGACGUAGCUCUUUUGGGAGUGAACUUUGGGAAACAAAUUCUGUCUCUCUCUUGUGCUUCUUACUUGUUUUAUUGGUUAUUUGCUUGUGAGACUAACUUUCUAGAGUUUGAGGUCGAUCUACUAUUAUACAAGUCUCUAGAGCAAGACAACUGGUGAGAAAUACUCCAAAGAUACCACUAUCUCUUCUAAAUUUACUCGAUCUAAAUUACAGCAUCAAUAUCUUUAUUUUGUGUAGAUUGUUUCGUACCCGGAUAGUCCGGAUAUUAUCUCCAGAAACUCCGGACAUAAUCCGGAGUAUCCGGAUAUCUGUGUUCCUGACAGUGUUCAAAGUAUUUUAAAUUUCAGAUUAGCCUAUUCAUUCCCCUCUAAGCAUUUUGAGAUACUUUCAAUUCAACUAUACGGGUUCACAUCAUAUUACUAAGCCGCUACGCUGAACAAAAUUUAUGUAUUUUUUCCAAAACAUGCACUGCACAUGUGUUCUCUUAAGUGAAGCCAGAAUGGACGCACCUACUUAAGCGUAUGUGUGGAUGGUGGGUCGAAAUAGGUCGGGACAUGUUCGAUCUGUAUCGACCCGCCUUUGGUUGUAAUUUCGUUUGGGUUAGGAUGGACCCACCCAGAUGAGAAUAUUCCUCCAAGAUGGCGGUUCAUCUCAUCCCUCCAAAACGAGUGGAUCAUCCCGACCCACUUCGAUGACGCCAUCCUCCGUUCCGCGCAGGAGCAGGAGAGCGGACGGGCCAGCGCGGCGGAGCGGCAGCGUGGGAUGGAGCCCAUGGAGGAGCGGCAUGCGGCGGCGCGGUAGCGGUGCAAGGCGGUAGCUGUGUGGCAGCACGGAACGGAGCCCGCGAAGUAGCGGCUCGGUAGAGGAGCGGGGCGAGGCGAGGCGAGGCGGAGGAGUGGCGCACACGGCCCGCGGUGCAGCGACCCGACGGAGAAGCGGGGCGAGGCGAGACGGAGGAGCGCUGCAUGGUGCAGCGGCUCGGCGGAGGAUCAAGGUGGGGCGGAGGAGCGGCGCCAAGUAGGACCCACGACGGAGAUAGGGAGGGCGGCGGCGCACAGGGCGGGCACGCGGCGGCGGCGGUGGCCGUGGCUGUGCGGAGUGGGUGGCCGGCAACCGAUGGCGCAGCGCACGCGGCGGUGGCUGAGCGGAUGGCACAGGCUAGCUCCAGUAGGAAGGAGAAGGAGAGUGGAGAGGAAGAAGAAGGUGAGCUGAGAGAUUGACAUGCGGAUCCUGUAAAAAAGCUGUCUAAUGGUUUACAAGCGGUCAUCGUAGACUUUGGAUAAAAAGAAAACUAGCACCAACUCAACCUUUAACCAAACACCGAAUGGAUUCAACCUGACCCAAAAAAUAGAAAUGGGUUCAAUUCGUACUACGUAAUUCCGGAACCAAACACAUGCUUCUUUUAGAAAACGCUCCUGGACACGUGUUUCAUCAAGAAGAGAGAACAAACACAUGCUAAACACAUGCUAAGAGGAGAUCAUUGCAGGUGUACAUCACAAAGAUAAGUUCAGCCCUAUAAGUUCUUUCACACAGAGAGAGAUAUCAAACGCAACAGAAAAGAGAAGAGCUAGCCAUGAAAUUAAGCUUCCGAUUUUUUUUUCGCUCCUCCAAACAUUGAAAACAGCCGGAAAGAGACGAAGCAACUGACGCACGAUGGAAUCCAGGCGCAUGUGCGCGCGAGCGAACCCGGACGUCGACGGCUGCGCGCGUGCCACCGGCGGCAUGUGAGGUGCGGGCCACCCCCCUCCGGGGCUCCGGGCCCGAGCCGUUGAAUCUGUGGGCGAACCCGUGGCGGCCGGAGCGCGGAAUGCGCAGCGGCCACCGUCCGCCGAGCGAGCUCUAGCCGCACCAGAACAAUCUAAAAAAAAAGCCGCACCAGAUUUCCCGGGCCUACGCGCCGUGGCCGGAUCGUGUUGGGUACUUGGGUCACGUCGGCUCCGUUGCGUCUCGCCGUCGUGGGUAGUGGCCGACCGACCGGCGGUGUGGGGGAUCAGGGAUGUUGUUCUAGGGUAUGCGCGCAAGGCGGCGCGCGUGGCCUGCUUGCUACUAGCUGCGUACGCUUCACGAUCGAGAGCGACGCCGGGCCAGCGGGCAUAACGUCGUCCGCGACGUCAAGUGCCAUCCGUCCAGUAAGAGACGACCCAAUUUACUGCAUAUUUUUCUGGAGAUGAUCUCAAGAUUCUUGCAAGUUUCUCGCGUUUAUUUGCCGGUGGACGUAAGAUGGUUGAACACCGCUGAAUGGCCUCCGUAAGUGCUAGCUCAAUCAUAUCCAAUUCAAAACGCGCACAUGCACGCGCCGCAUGUGUCCAUGCAUGCACGAAGAAAAAUGGUGCAACAUCACGUUUCAUGCGCCUAACCAUAACGUGCCAAUUUGCAAUGGAUAGGUCCCAACUAGAGUUGAACAAUAGUAGCAGGGAGAUAAACCUGCACGGUUUACUACUUAAAAAACGAUCUGCAGCAAUAUCCGUUCUUUUCAGGGACGUAUCAAAAAUGUAACUCGCUCAAGCAGGGUUACUGUAGCAAUUGCCCUAUCCCUGAAAAUGGCAGAGGCGGGGGAUGGCGUCACCCGCCACUGCAAAUAGUCCCACGCAAAAAAAAUUUAUAAGUUUUUUGUGUGACCUUGGAUCAAGUCAAACUUAAUACCAAAAUUGUAGAGAUUGACGAGACCUACAAUUUUAUAGUUGAUAACUUUUCAUUUAUGGUCAUUCAGUAGUCCAAAAAAUUAUUAUAAGUUGUCUAAUAGCUAUGACUAUAUAAUAUCUCAUGCAACUCAAAUCAUAGUUUGAGGUUUCCACAAUCUAAACCUUUAUAUACACUGAAAUAUACUUGGCAUAUUUUUUAUCUACAGUUCACAAUAACCAUAGUGUAAAAGUUCUACUUUUCUUUGAUCUGUUUUGCUAUAUGUAAAGAUUUAAAUGAAUUUUCGAAAUAAAGUAGAAAAAUAUUUUUAGGGGCGGGUGGUAGCAUCACCCGCCCCUAGAAAUGGAUUUCUAGAGGCGAGAAUCAAUUUCAGAGUUAAUAUAAAAGAAUAGCAUACCCUAUAGAGUCACUAGUACCGUGGAGAGGAAGGUAUGCACGAGGCUUGAGGAACGCGGUUCGAAUCUCGGGUGAUGUAAGUGUGCAUAUUUCGUUAAAAAAAUUGUGCCUCGAUUAGCACAAGGGCUCGUGGUGGUAGCUGGUUGGCUACAAUAUUUUUCCUUUUUAUUUUGCUUAUUUAUUUUUUUAAUUUUUUUUAUUUUUUUAGAAAUUGAUUUGUAGGGGCGGAUCAUGGUAUGACCCACCCCUAAAAAUAGCAUUUCUAGCUGCGAGGAGGGUUACCCAUCCCUAAAAAUGAGUUUUUACCCGUUUCUAAAAAUCCUUCGUGAAACGAGGUUGAGCUCAUUUUUAGGGCGUUACGGGUGGUUUCAUUACUGCAUCAAAAUCGGUGUAAAAUUAUCCGAACUAGUGCAAUUAAUGCACAAGUUCGUGAAAUAAAUUCGCGUCAGAAUGUUUAGUCUCGGCUUCACAGUAUUCGUACUAAUGGUCAUCAGUACCCGGUCCUGAUGAACUUUUUCUAAUAGUGGCGUGUGAUACGUAAGAAUGGUCACGCAUCCACUCCAUGGAUGUGUAAAAGAAAUUUUCAAAUGAGAAUAUAUUUGGAUCCACCAGCUAACGCCCUAAAAAUACUUCGUGAAACGAGGUUGUGUUGAAAGUUUUUCGCAACGAACGCACCCGAUCAACACCAUCUAACCUUAAACUUAUUUUUAGGACGUUACGGACAGUUUCAUUACUGCAUCAAAAUCGGUGUAAAAUGGUCCGUACUUGUGCAAUUAAUGCACAAGUUUGUGAAAUAAAUUCGCGUCAGAAUAUUUAGUCUCGGCUUCAUAGUACCGGUACUAAUGGUCUUCAGUACCCGGUGCUGAUGAACUUUUUCUAAUAGUGGCGUGUGAUACGUAAGAAUGGUCACGCAUCCACUCCAUGGAUGUGUAAAAGAAAUUUUCAAAUGAGAAUAUAUUUGGAUCCACCAGCUAACGCCCUAAAAAUACUUCGUGAAACGAGGUUGUGUUGAAAGUUUUUCGCAACGAACGCACCCGAUCAACACCAUCUAACCUUAAACUUAUUUUUAGGAUGUUACGGACAGUUUCAUUACUGCAUCAAAAUCGGUGUAAAAUGGUCCGUACUUGUGCAAUUAAUGCACAAGUUUGUGAAAUAAAUUCGCGUCAGAAUAUUUAGUCUCGGCUUCAUAGUACCGGUACUAAUGGUCUUCAGUACCCGGUGCUGAUGAACUUUUUCUAAUAGUGGCGUGUGAUACGUAAGAAUGGUCACGCAUCCACUCCAUGGAUGUGUAAAAGAAAGUUUCAAAUGAGAAUAUAUUUGGAUCCACCAGCUAACACAGACCUAAUAUUUUUCUAAUAACUGGUUAAAUAGUGACUGUCUAAGCUAUAGUCAGCUAAUGAAUCAGCUAUAUGAUCCAAACGGAGCUUUAUUAUUACUCCCUGUGUUUCAGAAUAUAACUAUUUUACUUUUAAAAUUUGACUAUAUAGAUGGUAAAAAAACAUAAACAUUGACAAUAUAAAAAUACUAUUAGUUUAUUCAUAAUGAAACCAACUAUCAUAACAUUUAACAUGUUCUAUUUAAAGUAAUUAUUUUUGAAGAUAUUAUGGGUCAAAGAUGAAAAUAUUUAACUAUAACGAAGUCUAAAAAAGCUGCUAUAUUUUGAGACAAGUAGUAUAUAUUACCAACUGCACUUGUGCAGUGGAAAAAAGAAAAUGGUCCUAUAUAUCCGUGUUCCGAGACCAACUAAUAUUUCAGUUCCUAAUACGCUAGAUCUAGUUAUUGUAUCUUCAACUGCCAUUGACAAAAUUAGUUGAUGUGUUACUUGCUACUCUCCAAAAAUGGUGAAAACGCUACUAUGUUGGUUCGUACCAGAAGAUCAAAUCUAACACUAGUUUUUGCUGUGGUGCUAAAGUUGAGGAGAUGUCUGCAUACUACUGUGUAGCUGGCGAUGUUGCUUAUAAGCUGACCGGACACUUUGGUAAAGGGACUACAAAUCUCUGCUCUCUUAUUGGUUGCAAAAUUUAGUAGAACUCAGCGGCCGGCAGCCUGCUGGACGGCAGUCGAACCUGUAAAGCGUAAAGAAACUGAACCCUUCCGUGUUUCGCAUGUCCGAGCUAUGUAUGGGCGGCGGCUUCUCACUUUGCAGGGCAUCCUGCAACCACCAUGCAUGGUUCCAAUUUCUUAAGAGUUAGUAAGACAUAAUUAAUUAACACGCCAUUCACCGUAUCAUUGUACUCCUACUACUAUCUAUCAGUUGUGUAGGUAGCAUGGCCUGUCGAUUUUCUUAGAGGAAACUGAAACGGAUUAGGUGCCUCUCCCAACACAUAAUCAGCGAUCUGGUACGCAGAAUAAUCGUCGUUACGAGUGGUGAUUGCAUCACCACCUGUACCAAUCAUUGUGUCCGUGUUCUAAUACACUGUGCAAACCUUCCUGUAUCCGGCUGUGCGCGAAUCUCCAUCAUCGGAGGGCGCGGGCUAGCAAGCAGGGAAAAAAAAUGCAGCGCACAGGUACAAGGCACCGUCGACGCAAUAUAUACACAACAUUGGAUUGCCCAUAACUGCCAAGAUAAGAGCCCAAGAGGCCGUUGCUUUUCUAAUGGUGCACGCAUGGCCCCAAGUCUCCGUUCCUCGCAUGAUUCGCUCCGGAGCCCAUGUGACUGACCCCUACCAAAGAGCGUCGGGUGCAACAGCCGUUGAUGGCGAUCGCGGCGCACUGCGUUCGUUUCCAUCGAGUCUUUUCUCCUGCCUAUAAAUACCCCAGCAAAGGGGCUCUCUUCCCCAACCAUCCAAACACUGAUAUCUUGUGUCUGCUCGGCACAAGCAGUAGCUACCUGCUUUCCUUCUUAAGUUUGGAGUAGGAUUAUUGUGCUUGCUGCACUGAGCUAGCGAAGAGAUGGCCUCCUCCUCUUCCAAGGCUGCUGCACUUGCAGCACUACUCUUCUCCCUCCUUGUCACGUAUGGCUCGUGCGCUCGGCCGGUGAGCUUCAACGCCUCCGCCUUCACCGCCGACCCCAACUGGGAGGCCGCCAGGGCCACCUGGUACGGCGCGCCCACCGGCGCUGGUCCUGACGACGACGGUAUGUCCCUGAACGAUUGUCGGCCAUGGCGGCGCUCGUACGCAUAGGUAUAGCUGAAUGCCGUAACUUUUUUGGACGACCAAUAAACUUAUCUGGAUGCCGUGGCACCCAUUCGCUGUGCGUGCAGGUGGCGCCUGCGGGUUCAAGAAUGUCAACCUGCCGCCGUUCUCGGCCAUGACGUCGUGCGGCAACGAGCCACUGUUCAAGGACGGCAAGGGCUGCGGAUCCUGCUACCAGGUACUAGAUCAAUUGGUCAGACGAAGUUAAAGCUGGUGCCGCGGCCGUAAUGGAAACGGAAAGCUCAAGCACAGUUCUGAGCUAGCUUUGACCCACUCUGUUUUGUUUCCUUCUUUCAGAUACGGUGCACUAACCACGCUGCGUGCUCCGGCAACCCGGAGACGGUGAUCAUCACCGACAUGAACUACUACCCGGUCGCCAAGUACCACUUCGACCUCAGCGGCACGGCCUUCGGCGCCAUGGCCAAGCCCGGCCGCAGCGACGAGCUCCUCCAUGCCGGCAUCAUCGACAUCCAGUUCAAGAGGUGGGUACCAUGCAUUGCAAUGCUCGUUUGCACAGAGCCGCGGAGCAUAAUCAUUAGCUCGACCGUCGAGCUUGCCUGUUUCUGUGGAGCCUUGUACUUUAUUUGCUCAACCGAUUUUAACGACUAUAGCCGGUUUUAAAUGGGGCUGGGGCCCACAUAGAUUCGCAGACAUACUGUAUUAUUCUAGUACUUCCAAUCCACUCCUAAUUUGGCGUCUGCAUGCACUGUGGAUCGACAAAGGUCUUCUGAUUUCUAAAGCCUAAUCCAAACGUCUCACAUGGCUUGUUCCUGCUGCAGGGUGCCCUGCAACUACCCCGGGCAGAAGGUGACGUUCCACGUCGAGGAGGGCUCGAACGCCGUCUACCUGGCGGUGCUCGUCGAGUUCGAGGACGGCGAUGGCGACGUGGUGCAGGUGGACCUGAUGGAGGCCAACUCCGGGUCGUGGGCGCCGAUGCGCGAGUCCUGGGGAUCCAUCUGGAGGAUGGACUCCAACCACCGGCUGCAGGCGCCCUUCUCGC
rnacentral:lncRNA from 1 species